AAAAAGGGCUUCUGUCAUGAGUGCCACACACCAGGCGGUUCAUUUGCUCUUUAUGUGGAAUCAACAUCAAGAGAUUUUGGAAGCACAAUUUUUUGACACUCAGGCAGCUGGUGAUUGUUGGUCCUGGCGCCGCC